rnacentral:rRNA from 1 species
GACGAACGCUGGCGGCAUGCCUAAUGCAUGCAAGUCGAGCGGGGUGUUUUUGAAAGCUUGCUUUCAAAAACACUUAGCGGCGGACGGGUGAGUAACACGUAGGCAACCUGACUUAUAGUCUGGGAUAACUUCCGGAAACGGAUGCUAAUACCGGAUACAUCAUCUUUGGGCAUCGGAGGAUGAGGAAAGACGGCGCAAGCCGUCCCUAUAAGCUGGGCCUGCGGCGCAUUAGCUAGUUGGUGGGGGAAUGGCUCACCAAGGCGACGAUGCGUAGCCGACCUGAGAGGGUGAACGGCCACACUGGGACUGAGACACGGCCCAGACUCCUACGGGAGGCAGCAGUAGGGAAUCUUCCACAAUGGGCGAAAGCCUGAUGGAGCAAUGCCGCGUGAGUGAUGAAGGUUUUCGGAUCGUAAAGCUCUGUUGCCAGGGAAGAACGUCCGGGUGAGUAACUGCACCCGGAGUGACGGUACCUGAGAAGAAAGCCCCGGCUAACUACGUGCCAGCCGCCGCGGUAAAAC